GCAGAAUGACCGUUGCAACAAUGUGCAUGGGUUUGAAGCACUCACUGAGUUGAGAAGUACAGUGACUCACCUAGAAGCAGGAUCACAUAGUUGAGCUGUUGGCAGCACUAGAAUGAAGAGUUCAGUUUGACAGAAUGAUGCAUGAAGUUCAUCUCACUCACCACGACUUAGAUAGAUCGACGCACUGAAAGUGGUUGUUCACAUGUUCAUGUAUCACAUAAUCUGCCAGUCGUCUGAUGUAGCAGCAAGAAUACACUUAAAGCUGGAUGCUGCAUGGUUCAUGAUUCAGAUCUCCAGGUUUAGUACACAUCUACAAAAGAAGCAGCUGACUUUGAAUAUCAACCUGGAGUGUUGAGUGAUGUAGGUAGACGGAAGACUGGCAUGAAAUUAUCUAGUCAUCAGGCACUUCUAAUUCCAUCAUCAUACUCAUUAUAGGAGAUUGUGCUGCAAUGCGCAUGCCACCUUUGAAGUGUCCUAGUUGAGUUACUACAACAACAUGGAUGCAUGAUGCAUUUGAAAAAGUUAACCAGUUUUUGCAUUCAUUAUUUGGACUACAAUAUAGACAGUAGUUCAGUGACUGAGUGUACCUAUAUACCCAAAUCUGCAUGAGUCAAACUCGGAUCAGGCACCGACAGGAGGAUUUUUAUCAGCUGCAUGAAUUACCGGUUGUACCUAUGUAUUCAACAUCAUAUCCUAUUCACAGUGGAAUUUCAAGAUGCAAGCCAGUGCAUGAAAUUUGAAAAUAUUGAAGAAGAAGCACCAGUUCUGUUUCUGCAUGAUAUGAACUAAGUUUGUCUUCAUUUGUGUCAUGGAUCACGUUGCAUGACAAGGGAGUGACAUCUUUGGUUUGAUGUAAUCUCGUCACUACAUGUCGUCUCUAGCUCUUUUCCAGGCCAAUUCAAGGCAGUUGCACUGAUAUCACAUGGCACAUUUCAACAUCUACGCUGGAUUUGACAUCUGUGUCGGACGUCAAUGUUCUGUGUUGUCUCUUACUGGAUGCUUGUGUAUUUCCCUGACUGUUCACGUGUUACACUGUAUGAACUGCUUGUGGCGCAUCUGUGGCCACUAGCCCUGAGGCAGACAUCAUCUUUGCUAUCUACUUUAAUCCAAAGGGAUCCCGG